GAUUUUUCAAAGAGGGAGGUUUUAAUCCUGUCACAAUAUUCUAUUCAAAACAAACAUUAUAUGCAGAAGAAGACAGCAACAUCAAGAAGAGCAAGACGCUUGCAAGACUGAGAUAAGACUAAGAUAGAAGGUAGGCAACUUUGGAAAGCCACCCUCUAUGAUGACAAUCCACAGGCCAGGCAAACCUUCACGGAGAUAAUGUCUGAGACCAAAAGAGACAUGAAAAGCCAGUUGGAAGCAGUUUGGUUACAGGAGUACUGUUUGAUUGGCAACUGCAAUGGGCCCUUACAGUCCCCUCAGCUCCACACAGCUCAGAAGAACUGCACUCUGAUGGUUGAUUGUAACACUGAAGCAGCUUUGAGUUCUUGAGGAAGGCUUGAG
rnacentral:lncRNA from 1 species